UACGAAGGGGGCUAGCGUUGCUCGGAAUCACUGGGCGUAAAGCGCACGUAGGCGGACUCUUAAGUCGGUGGUGAAAUCCUGGAGCUCAACUCCAGAACUGCCUUCGAUACUGAGAGUCUCGAGUCCGGGAGAGGUGAGUGGAACUGCGAGUGUAGAGGUGAAAUUCGUAGAUAUUCGCAGGAACACCAGUGGCGAAGGCGGCUCACUGGCCCGGUACUGACGCUGAGGAGCGAAAGCCAGGGGAGCAAACGGG
rnacentral:rRNA from 1 species